GAAACAAAACAAGAUCAAGAAUAGAAGCUUGAGGUACCCCAGAAGUUACUGGAAGAGUGUUGGUCUUUGAGUAUGACUAAAAUAAAGCGGUUAGAAAGAAACAAUUUGAUAAUCUCAAAAACUUUCCCAGAUACACCAUAUUAAACAAGCAUAUGGAGAAGACCACCAAGCUAAACUUUGUUGAAAAUUUAUGAUAUGUCAAGAGCAAUUGCCCUAACUUCUCCGCCUCCAUCUAAUGCACACUAAAAUCUUUCAGUCACAGCAAUCAGCAAGUCAGCUGUAGAGCGAAGGGAUUGAAAACCAUAUUGAUCGUCUGACAGUGAAAGCUUAAAACAUCCUUUUUCUAAUCCGCUCUCAAUGGUGCAUCAGAUAUAUUUAGCCAAUCUUGUACUCCAAACACAUCUGUGUACCUUUGACAGCGUUUAAUAGAGUUAUACAUGUUGUUCACCUCCAUGCAAGAAUGUCCACUCUCCAGGAAUUUAUGUUUGAUAACCUGUAUGGGCAAUUCCACACUCAA